CCUCCACACAUGCACACCUGCACUCACACACACAGAAGCACAUGUGUAUACCAUGAACUGAGUGCCUUCAAGAGGAAUUUGUUUUGUCACAGUCUUGAAAAUGAUUUUGGAGUCAUGGGGGCCAGAAGGUUGCUGUCUAGGGAGGGUACUCUCAGGUUGCAGAUGGCCAUACUCUUGCUGAAUCCUCAGGUGGUUGAACGAUUUCAUUUUGAGAUCGCCAGCCCUAUGAGACUAUGACCUCAUUUCAUCUAAGUCCCCAUCAGCUUUAUCUCCAAAUAUGGCAGUUUGCAUUAGGGGUUAAGUUCUGACCUCUGAAAGGGGAACACACCUAGGUACUAAUGGUCAGACUUUAGACAGUGUCUGCAGUUAAAGAAUGCUUGAGAUCAAGGACACAGAGAAGGAACAGCAAAGACCUGGCACCGGCAUUUCCCAGGAAUUCACAAGGAACCAAUGAAGUGAAUGCCCGGGAGGAGGGUUUCAAGGGGACAUUCUGAAUACUGUCCACUCUUGCCAACCUGCCUGUCACUCUUCACAAGUAGAAAGGUCAGUGGGAGCUUAGUGAUCACUGAAGCUGGAAGGACCAAACCCAGAACAGAAUUGUUGAAGUACGAAUGUGUGGUGGAAACUUAGAAUCCGGAGAAUAUAUGAGUUUUGAAGAUUUUGACUCCGAAGGAGCCUGAGAAAUGAUAGCACAAUAGGUGGAGGGGACUGAGAAGUUUAAAGGAAGGUUUUGUUUUUGUGUUCAAGGUUAGAGGCUUAACUGGAGCAUUUCCUCAAGAUAGCUCAUAAACAGCAAACAAGAAUCAGAUACAGAAAGCAAAUAACACACUAGGAAUGGGCAAAAUAUUAUGUAAAUGUGUUUUUUUUUUUUGAGGAAGAGGAGGAGGAGGGUUCUUUUGUCAGGCUGUCCUGGAGCUCACAGAGACCUUCUACCUCCCAAGUCCCUUUACUGGGACUAAAGGUGUGUGCUACCACACUCUGUAACACCCUCUUCUGACCUCAGCAGGUACCCACACUCACACAUGCACAUAUUCACACAGACACAUACAUAGAAUUUACUAAAAAGUAAAUCUUUUUUUAAUUGCUACUAAUUAUUUGGGAAAUACAAAGCAGUAUUAGUAAUCUAAUGAAAAUUUAAGACAAAGAUAUUGAUCUUUAUAGUUUUAAUGUCAGAAUCUAAACCAAUGUGUUCUUUUGUUUUUCAAGGUUGGAAUACACACUAAAGCAUGGUUUAUUGCUGGUAUCUUCAUACUGGUGACGGUACAAGUGUCCUUCUGGGGGAUUCUGCAACACUUGGUGCAUUUCCCCCAACCCAAACUUCAAAAACCUAUUAUAAGGAUUCUUUGGAUGGUCCCAAUAUACAGUUUAUGUAGUUGGUUGGCGUUAAAAUUCCCCAAAGUUGGAAUAUAUACUGAUACCUGCAGAGACUGCUAUGAAGCUUACACCAUUUAUAACUUUAUGACCUUCCUUACCAAUAAUUUAACAA